rnacentral:lncRNA from 1 species
CUUUGUGCGCCGCAUCACUCUCCAACGUGUGCUGUAUCCCUCCGCCUUGCAACGACGCCAUUUUGUCCUUGCAGGGAGCGAGCGUGCGCUGAACCGUUGACGAUCCGCCAUUUUAUACGGAGGUUACAAGUGUGUUUUGUCGAUCUGUCUCUUACCAGUUGUGUUUCCGAGCGAACAAGCAUGGAGGAUUGGGACGAUGAAUACGUGGCGAGUGAGCAGCCAAAGCUUUCUGCCUCUUUCCUGAAGCUCAAUGUGCAGAAUAGCCAAAAUGAGGCAGAGAAAGAAUCUACCAAACCAAGUCCAUGGAUACCGGGUAAUUUGAGUGCUAGGACGACGGGCCAGUCCAGGGGCGGAUUUCCAUCCAGAGGCCGUGGAAUGUUGCGUCCAGAACAUGGAAACGAUGCCAUUGGUGACGCAGAUGUUGGAACUGGUGGAAGAUGGCCACGGGGGCGACAAAUUAGGGGAGGUUUCCCUCGCAGGAGUCAGGAGGGUGGCCAUUCAGUCUUUGAGAAAGACAAUUUGAGCAGGGGAGCAGGUAUGGGUUUGUCUUGCUUUGAAAGUACGUUCUGCAUUGGUUUCACUGGUUAUUUCUGGCUUGACUGAAUACCGGGCGGGCCGGAAGUCCUUGUG